GCCACAGAGACACUAUCAACAUUUCACUCUUGAGCAUAUUCAAUACCAGACUGCACAUGAUCAAAGAACAUUUCUCCUCUGCUUUCUUGAUGACCUAGAGAUGAAACAGAGGUGUGCAAAGGGGAACAGCUGAAUCAGAUUGGCCAUAAAUGAAAUAGUGACAUGAAAAUUACACCUGAUGAUUUGGGGGUAUUUUAAAGAGCAUUUCAUUUACUUGCAGUGUUUUACACAUUCACUACAAUAAUAAUGUAUGCCUUACUGAAUGCCUUACCGGUGGCAAUAUAAUGAUGAUCUAAAGCAAAUAUGUCACAAAUCUUUUAAAAUACCUCUCUAGGUGAUAGGCAAAUAUAAGCACUUGAUGUUAAACUAAGUGCAAGACCAACGAAUGUGUUCCAGUGGUCAGGCAUUCCCUAAACUGCACUCAAAAUGUGCCCUGUUACUUAUGUAUAAUCUUUUUUUUUCCAUUGUCUGCCUCCUUGACCUUUGGGAAAAUAGCAUAGUAACACUACUACCUUCACUGUAGCUUCACUGUCAUUCUGAUAAUAUAUAAAAGCUAUCACUUAAUCUGUGCAGUGCCUAUAUGUUAUAAUAUUAUGGUCUAAAUGCUUUAGGAGAUCUGAAAGAAUUUCUGGUAACCUUGUCUAAAGCACAGAUUCCCAAAGCAGUAGAGCGCUAUCAUUGCUCACAGUGUCUCCAAGGUCAUCAUGUUUAUCUUCAUAGUUAGCAGCACUGUAAAAGUGGUAUGAAAUCUCAUCAGCUACAAUCUCAUCAGGGCACAGUUAGGACAUAACAACUUCAAUGGUAGAUCUUUUUCUUGUUACUGAACACAGUUCACAUAGCAGACAAAAUAUCUUCCUAUUAUUUUAGUUGGAAAAAAAAAAUGUUUCAUGGCCACUGAAUAUUCAUAGAUUGACUCAAACCUAGGUUAAAUGAGAACAUAUUCAUUCAAUAUAAAGAAUAAAUCAUUUACAUGAACAUUCUAGCUCUAAUGUAAAUGGGUGAAGCUGUGCUGAUGUAGUCUAAGAAGGCUUGAAAUGACUUUUGAUCUUUAUAGGAUAAUCCAAAUCUAGCAUUAAUUUAAGAAUUAUGUAUCUCUAUAUUUUACGUAUGAGAAGUUCAAGUUAAUCUUUCUUCAACGCUUGUUAUAUAGAAGCACCCAUCUCCAGCUGAUGGCUUAUAAAAACACAGCCAAAGUGUGAUGAAAUCUGUAUUUUGCCCAGCCAGAGAAAUUUACUCACAUGCUACUUAGUUGUAAAGAGAAUACACAAUAUUUCCUUUUUUCAUUUUUCACUUCCUGUCAUCCAUCUAACAGUCAGAACACUGGGAGAAAUCUCUGCAAUGAGUCUAGUCAAAAUAGGACAGGUCUAGUUGCAUGGCAAGAUAAAGUUGCGCUGACAGACUACCCUAACUGCAGAGGGUGUUUGAGGCUCCUUACUCUGAUCUAAUGGAAAACAAAUGUGCUUUAGUGAAGACAAGAUUAAUCCUCAAACAUCCCAUACCCCCUUCCAUAGGACACAAUGGGAGUUCUUCAUACAAGGAGAAUGCCCCAAGCUAGGGGUGUGCCUGAAUUUUCCAGGAAUAGAAUGGCGAUGGCAUUCUUCCUCUGGCUGAGUGCAGAGGAGGGCAUUGUAACAGCUUUUGAAGUGAUGAAUGGUGCAUCUAACCAGCUGAAGCAGGCCACCUGCACGCCAUGCUCUGGAAGCCGGGGAAGUACUCAGAAAGGUGUUAAUAACUCCUUGGAUCGACAGUAGCAGAUUGUGCAGCCUUUUGGCAAACGGUGACCUCAAAUAGUGGAUUUGCAUUUACCCUUAAACAAGCACAAGGGCAACUCCAACUUCUGUGUUUGUGUUAUGUGUGCUCAUAGAUGUUGCAUUUUAUAAAAUGCCUUGUUGACUCAUUCCAGAAGUGAGACGGGGGUUUCUUCAUGAUGCAGCUUGAGCUGUGUACAAGCAGAGCAGGAUGAAUUGAAAACAAUAUUCCAAGUAGCCUAAUGCAUUCUUGCUGUUCAAGUUAACUUUCAGUACAAAGCAGGAGGUAAACAAAGGGCUAAAGAAAGGAAAAUACAGAAAGAUCUACAGUCGAGGGAACCUGAAAGGGAUUAACUUGGUCUCCCAGGCAUGAUUCGUUAUGCCGAUCUGAGAGAAUAAGACAACUUAGGGCUGUGGUAGCUGCCGACCUGCUAAGCCCCUUGGAAGUCUGAAUUGGCAAAUAUCACAUCCCAUCCUGAAUGACUUGCUCCAUCUGUGUUUGCUAAUGUCCACAUUGACAGCUGCUUGCCAUUUUGGCAAGAAAGUCAAUGCAAUUUGAGAAUCUGCGCUGGAUGGCUAGUGCAUGCACACACAAAGGCUCACAGACUUUAGACUAACAAAGCCUAUUAGUUAGCCACUCCAGUAAAUAAAGAAGUCCAUGCUUUCCAGUACAUAAACUAAUUCCAAAAUCAUUAGUAGUUCUUGAAUCAAUUCACACAGUGGUGGCUGAACAUGCAUUUACUCAAACAAAGUAGUGUGUAGAACUGAAGACUUCUGUAUGCGUUAACUCCCAGGUAGUCAAAUCAAAUAUAGAAGGCAUAUGUUUCUUUAAAAAACAGAUAUAUCAAUCUAUUUCACUCAUGUUGUACAGACAGCUGUUAAAUAACUGUUUUAAUUUAGCAACUUUAUAAAAAAAUUGAGGAUAAAAAAUCCUCACUUUGAAUGUGUAUCAUUGAAUACAUAUACUGAGCACUGUAAUCAAAAGAAAAGGCAAAGAACAAAUCAAUAAAUAAGGAUAGAAUAAAUAAUUCUUAAUUCUUAAUUGAGAAUUCAUUAAGAAUUAAUAAAGAAUUAAGAGUUCUUUAUUUCAACCUUUUCCACUCUUCCACCUCAGUUGGAGAUGAGCUGCCAAUGAGGAGUACAAUAGCUAGCAACAUUGCUGUACUCUUCUAUGACAUUCAGAAAGACAGAAUACUAUUAAUACUUAACACUUAUAACAUGGAAUCAAAAUGUAAGUCCCUGCCUACUUGUGGUUAUCCCAGACACCUUUAUUCAGAAGUGAGGAUAGAGUCAAAGGAGUUGCAUGGAUAUUAUUUACCAUCUACUAGCAUUUAUUAUAUAUUUUCCUUCGUGUUACUUUAGUUUCACAUAGUUACAGUUUUAUAUAUUAGGCCCAAGUUAUUUUAUGGGAUUUUAAAGAGGUGAAAAUACCUCAUAAAACAACAAAAAACAUCAUUGGUUUCCUUUUGCCUUUAGGUACAUGCACUGAAACCAGCCAAAGGCCUCAG
ensembl:lncRNA